rnacentral:rRNA from 1 species
UCAAAUAUAUUAAAGUUUAUGAUGGAUACCUAGGCAUUUAGAGUCGAUGAAGGGCGUGGAUACCAACGAAAUGCUUCGGUUAGUUGGAAACAAACUGUGAUCCGAAGAUUCCCGAAUAGGAAAACCUAUAUAACUACUUAGUAAAUUCAUAACUAAGUAAGAGACAACCUGCUGAAUUGAAACAUCUUAGUAAGCAGAGGAAAAGAAAGCAAACGCGAUUUCCUUAGUAGCGGCGAGCGAAACGGAAUUAGUCUAAUCAUUAAAAAAAAACUAUUAAACGAAGCAGCUGAAUCCUGCACCAUAGAUGGUGAAAGUCCCGUAGUUUAAAAUAGAAAAAUUGAUUAUAAAGUAGCAUGGAACACGUGAAAUUCCGUGUGAAUACACGAGGACCACCUCGUAAGACUAAAUACUCCUAAAUGACCGAUAGUGAAACAGUACCGUGAGGGAAAGGUGAAAAAGAACCCCUGUAGGGGAGUGAAAAAGAACAUGAAAUCAUAAACUGACAAUCAGUGGGAGCUAAAGUGACCGCGUGCCUGUUGAAGAAUGAGCCGGCGACUUAUAGGUAGUGGCUUGGUUAAAAUAACUUUUUGGAGCCAAAGCGAAAGCAAGUCUGAUAAGGGCGCAUGUCACUAUUUAUAGACCCGAACCCGAGUGAUCUAACCAUGGCCAGGAUGAAUCUUGGGUAACACCAAGUGGAAGACCGAACCGACUGAUGUUGAAAAAUCAGCGGAUGAGCUGUGGUUAGGGGUGAAAUUCCAGUCGAACUCGGAGCUAGCUGGAUCUCCUCGAAAUGUGUUGAGGCGCAGCGGUUGAUGAUGGGCUAUUUAGGGGUAAAGCACUGUUUCGGUGCGGGCUGCGAAAGCGGUACCAAAUCGUGGCAAACUAAGAAUACUAAAUAUGCUUUCCAUCAACCAGUAAGACAGUGGGGGAUAAGCUUCAUUGUCAAAAGGGAAACAGCCCAGAUCACCAGUUAAGGCCCCAAAGUGAUGGCUAAGUGAUAAAGGAAGUAAAAAGGCAAAGACAACCAGAAGGUUUGCUUAGAAGCAGCCAUCCUUGAAAGAGUGCGUAAUAGCUCACUGGUAGAGCCUUUUUGCGCCGAAAAUGAACGGGGCUAAGUCAUCCGCCGAAACUGUGGGUUACAGUUUUAACUGUUACGGUAGAGGAGCGUUCCGUUAUAGGGUGAAGUUAAAAUGUGAAUUUUAAUGGACGAAACGGAAGUGAGAAUGUCGGCUUGAGUAACGAAAACAUUGGUGAGAAUCCAAUGCCCCGAAAACCUAAGGGUUCCUUCACAAGGUUCGUCCAUGGAGGGUUAGUCAGGACCUAAGGCGAGAUCGAAAGGUGUAGUCGAUGGAAAACAGGUUAAUAUUCCUGUACUUGAUUUAAUUUGAUAAAGAGGGACGGAGAAGGCGGUAACUAGCUAGAUAUUGGUAUUCUAGUAGAAGUAUUGAAUUCUUAAAAGAAUGAAAAAAAACUUUCUUUAGAAAACAUGCGAUCUAACUGGUACUCUAUUUACAUAGAGUUUUGGUUUAGUUUUAGUCAUACUUCCAAGAAAAGCUUUUAUUAUCGUUAAAUUAAAUCAACCUGUACCCUAAACUGACACAAGUAGGUAGGUAGAGAAUACUAAGGGGCGCGAGAUAACUCUCUCUAAGGAACUCGGCAAAAUGGCCCCGUAACUUCGGGAGAAGGGGUGCCUACAUAAUGUAGGCCGCAGUGACCAGGCCCAGGCGACUGUUUAUCAAAAACACAGGUCUCCGCAAAGUCGUAAGACAAUGUAUGGGGGCUGACGUCUGCCCAGUGCCGGAAGGUAAAAGAAGUUGGUUAUUCCUCGGAAAAAGCUGACGACUGAAGCCCCGGUGAACGGCGGCUGUAACUCUGACAGUCCUAAGGUUAAUACACGAUAUUACGCUAAAUCGCUAGCCUUAGUAAAACCGAACUAAAUGCUGGAAACUCCCCAAAAACAUAACUCUACUCGACUUUUAUAUUACAACAAUAUCGGGACUAACUUUUCGAGGUUAACUCUUGGAGACGUGUUAAAAGUAAGUCAGUAAUAAUGAGAAUGGCACGAGGACAAUCAGCAGGAAAGACUAAUAUACAAUUAGAAUCCUCAGAGACUAUACGUUUGGAGAUAUAAAAACAAAUAAAACUAUGAUAGAGUCCAGCCUUUCUUGAAAAAGUUAGGAUAUAACUGAGCGAAAUUCCUUGUCGAGUAAGUUUCGACCCGCACGAAAGACGUAACGAUCUGGGCACUGUCUCGGAGAGAGACUCGGUGAAAUAGAAAUGUCUGUGAAGAUGCGGACUACUUAUACCAGGACAGAAAGACCCUAUGAAGCUUGACUGUAAUUUGGAAUUGGGUUCGGGCUUUUUUUGCGCAGUCUAGGUGGGAGGCGUUGAUAUUAAGUUUUCGGACUUAAUGGAGCCACCAGUGAGAGACCACUCUAAAAGAGCUAGAAUUCUAAUAGGACUCCUUGAAUCAGGAUCCUUGACAGUUUCAGAUGGACAGUUUGACUGGGGCGGUGACCUUGAUUAUUGGGGUGUUUAUCAAGUGAUUGAUAAAUUUAACCGAGCUAUAUGCUGGGACGUCUGUACUUUGUAUUUUAAAAUAUUCACAUUAUUCCGUUAUCUAUUUUAAAGUAUAAAAGUUGAAGAUUUAACUUUACGAGGAUUAGACCGUAAAAAUAAGUUAAUGCAGAUAAUCAGCAGGGAAGUCCUCUACUUAUUGUAUGACCCCUCAACGACUACACGCUUGGCUCUUAUUUAAUAAGAUGAUGAUAUAGUCUGAACUUUAUGGCGACAUAAAGUUGAGUUAGAAACUCAACGUUAAUAAAGAAAAACGAACACAAUUGCCCAAAAGGUAACGGAGGUGUGCAAAGGUUCCCUCAAGCUGGACGGAAAUCAGCUGUAGAGUGCAAAGGUAUAAGGGAGCUUGACUGCAAGACCAACAAGUCGAGCAGAGGCGAAAGCCGGCCUUAGUGAUCCGACGGUUCCGAGUGGAAGGGCCGUCGCUCAACGGAUAAAAGUUACUCUAGGGAUAACAGGCUGAUCUCCCCCAAGAGUUCACAUCGACGGGGAGGUUUGGCACCUCGAUGUCGUUUCAUCGCAACCUGGGGCUGGAGUAGGUCCCAAGGGUUGGGCUGUUCGCCCAUAAAAGCGGUACGUGAGAUGGGUUCAGAACGUCGCGAGACAGUUCGGUCCAUAUCCGGUAUAAGCGUAAGAGCAUUGAGAGGAUCUCAACAUUGUACGAGAGGACCCGAAGGGACGUACCGAUGGUGUACCAGUUCUUAUGCCAAUAGGAAACGCUGGGUAGCUAUGUACGGAGUGGAUAAUCGCUGAAAGCAUUUAAGUGAGAAGCCCACCUCAAGAUGAAUGCUCUCUAUCAGAUCGCGGCAAGACAAGCCGAUAGAUUGGCAUCAAGUGUAAGAUUAGUAAUAAUUUCAGCUGAGAUGUACAAAGGAUCGAUUGAUUUUGACCUU